GACUACCGGGGUAUCUAAUCCUGUUUGCUCCCCAUGCUUUCGUGCAUCAGCGUCAGUUAAAGCCCAGCAGGCCGCCUUCGCCACUGGUGUUCCUCCUAAUAUCUACGCAUUUCACCGCUACACUAGGAAUUCCGCCUGCCUCUACUUCACUCAAGAACUACAGUUUCAAACGCAGCCCCGAGGUUAAGCCCCGGUAUUUCACGCCUGACUUGCAAUCCCACCUACGCACCCUUUACACCCAGUAAAUCCGGACAACGCUCGCUCCCUACGUAUUACCGCGGCUGCUGGCACGUAGUUAGCCGGAGCUUACUCUUCAGGUACCGUCAUUAUUCGUCCCUGACUACUUAGGUUUACAAUCCGAAGACCUUCUUCCCUCACGCGGCGUUGCUGCAUCAGAGUUUCCUCCAUUGUGCAAUAUCCCCCACUGCAGCCUCCCGUAGG
rnacentral:rRNA from 1 species